GAAUCUGUUCGUAGUAUAGCGAAACAGGGUAAUAUAAAGAAAUGUACACUAAGA
ncrna:unclassified sequences 6A RNA